UCUCCUGGGAAACGGGUGGUAAUGCCGGAUGCUCCAGUCCAUCGCAUGGUGGUCUGGGAAAGAUUUCAUCGGUAUGGGAUGGGGUCGCGUCCUAUCAGGUAGUCGGCGGGGUAACGGCCCACCGAGCCUACGACGGGUAGCCGGCCUGAGAGGGCGACCGGCCACAUUGGGACUGAGAUACGGCCCAGACUCCUACGGGAGGCAGCAGUGGGGAAUAUUGCACAAUGGGCGCAAGCCUGAUGCAGCGACGCCGCGUGCGGGAUGGAGGCCUUCGGGUUGUAAACCGCUUUUGUCGGGGAGCAAGCCUUCGGGUGAGUGUACCCUUCGAAUAAGCACCGGCUAACUACGUGCCAGCAGCCGCGGUAAUACGUAGGGUGCAAGCGUUAUCCGGAAUUAUUGGGCGUAAAGAGCUCGUAGGCGGUUCGUCGCGUCCGGUGUGAAAGUCCAUCGCUUAACGGUGGAUCUGCGCCGGGUACGGGCGGGCUGGAGUGCGGUAGGGGAGACUGGAAUUCCCGGUGUAACGGUGGAAUGUGUAGAUAUC
rnacentral:rRNA from 1 species